UAUGUGUUGUCGACAAUUUUUUUGACCAUUUACAACAAUUAAGUUCUGACCUAUUACAAGACGCUGUGGUUGUUUUAGCAAGAGGAUUGGUUUUGAAAAAUGACGACGGCAUUUAUUUGCAAUCUGUUGAAAACACACAAAUCAUGAUCAAUCCUAGGACAAAGAUUGCAAGCAAACUAAAACAGUGGUUUCGUAACGAUCAAUUUGUCCGACACAAGACACUAUGGAUAAAUAAGACUUCUCUUCCGCUCAAUAGAUUACUAUGCAUCUCGAAUUCAAUGCGUUUAUCCAUUUCUGAGUUUCACAAAUACAACGGAG